UAAUACCUAUAAAAAGAUAGAGUCAGCCUGCCUACAAUAGCCGCCUCUAAACCUUUCUUCUCUCUCCCUCAUCUCUGCACGCUUCUAUCCUAAUUUCUGGAAGGUAAGAGAUGCCAUGGUGAUGCCAGCAAAAAAGAUCUGAAUAAGGUUCUCAUAUUGUUGGGGCUGCCCAAAGGUACAUCCGUGAUUCUCUUUCGAAUCAAUAUGAUUUUGCAUCGGUCUUAUAUUACUGCUGUUUUACCGGAUCUGCUAAACCACAAUUUGUAUUCAAAGAAACUUAAAUCUGGGUCUUACCAAAUUGAUAUUCUGCAUGAUGAUCCGGAAGUUGGGUGGAUUUUUCAGUCAAAUCAACUAUUUGGCGUUACUAAGAUAUGUUCGGCCGUGAUUUCUCUGUUUAAAAAAGUUGAUACGUUGGAUUUUCAAUUUAUGUCUUGUCCCGACCAUUUAAACCUUUCAUUCUAUAUGAUAAAACAUAACAUUUUAAUUGUAUAGAAUGUUUGUUUGUGGUCUUAACAAGGACAAACUAAUAGAUGAUACCCGUCGUAUUUUGAUUAGUGGAUAUUGCAAGAAGCUAAAAAUUCAUCGAAGCUGUCCAAAAGUUUAAAUUUUAGUAGUUUGUGGAUAUUGCAAGAAGAUGAAUAUCUAUUGAAGCUGUCCAAAAGUAAACAUCUUUGUGGUAUUGCAAAGAUAGACUGAUAGACAAUCUUUUAAAACUUUGUUUAUUGUAGGGACAAAAUGAUAGAUGAGGCUUUGAAACUUUUUUAUCCGCAAGAACAUAAUGAUAGUUAAUGUAUUUAAGCUUUUACAUAAUGAUAGUUGAUGUAUUUAGGCUUUUUAUUUAAUGAUAGACGAAAUCUUUGAAACUAUCCUAUUAAUUACAAGGAUAGAAUGAUAGACAAUUAAUGCUUUGAAACGUUUCUAUUUGCAAGUGUUAGACCAUCCAUCAAAACUAGAAAGAGAUAAAUGAGUAAACUCUUCUUUUUACUCUCUCUGGAGCGAUUGGAGAUAUCAUAUUUCAUUAUGGGAUUAAAAGCAUAAGACUCUGGAGUGAUCCUGGAUCAGUGGCAUAUAUAUUUAUGAUUACUGAUGUAUAUGUUUCUUCAUCUAUUAUCCAAAAUACAUUUGUUUGAAUCUUUUACUAUUAAUAUUUUACCAAAAUCAGAUCUGAUGACUCCGAUGGAUAUUAACAGACUGUAAUUUGUGCUACUGUGCUUGUCUCGACUUGUGUGGUUUAGAUGGAAACCUAUUUCAGCAUUCAUUUAUGUUUAAUAUGAUUAGUUGCAAAUGUUUUUUUGGUAGAAUAAACUAAUCUCUGGCCUCUUAAAUCUUUUUCGACAAAUUGUUCUUGGUAGUUUUAAAAAUAAUACUAGGAAACCUACCCUAAUUAUUUUAAGGAUUACUUUAGGUCCUCCUUAAUAUAUUUUCAUGCGAGGCCUUAUUUUUUCAUGCAUCACCGUAAUUACAUAACGUUAAUAUUUUCCAAGCCAAGUAAAUUUAUGCAAUGCAUUCAAAGUGAAGUAAUGGAAGAUAUCAUUUUUAAAUUUAAAUUUAAAUUUAAU
rnacentral:lncRNA from 1 species